rnacentral:rRNA from 1 species
UCUGGUGGCCAUGCCGGGGGGGAAACACCCGUUCCCAUCCCGAACACGGAAGUUAAGCCCCCCAGGGCCGAUGGUACUGGCGGUUCUCACCGCCGGGAGAGUAGGUCGCCGCCAGAG